GGGGUUGUGGCUCAGUGGCAGAGUGCUUGCCUUGCAUGUGUGAGGUUCUGGGUUCGAUUCUUAGCACCA
rnacentral:tRNA from 1 species